GGAGGAACUGUAUGGCUGCUGCUGUUUCCGUCGGACUCUCAUACAGGGGCGGACCAAACAAACUCCCGCCUCCAGACAAAACCAAAGAGAGGAAACACAGGAUGAAGUUCCGAGCUAAAAUAAUCGACUUCGCUUGUCUCUCACACUUUAGCCGAGUCAUCACCACCAUCUCGAAGCUGACCAAGACGUGCGUACUGCGACUCACCCCAGACAACCUGUUCUUCGUGCUGUGCGGUAAAGUGGCCAACGGAGGCGUCAGCAUGUGGUGCGAGCUGUCUCAGGCCAACUUCUUUGACGAGUACCAGAUGGAGGGUGUGUCCUCUGAGGACAAUGAGAUUUGUCUGGAAGUGACUCCAGACAACCUUUCCAGAGCCUUGAAAACAGUCCAGAACGCCAAGUCUGUUAAAGUCAAACUGACCAAGAAGCACUGUCCCUGUCUCACCAUCGCUGCCGAGCUGCCUACUCUGUCCAGCAUCAGUCGAGUCGUCACUCACGAUGUCCCUGUUGACGUCAUCCCCCGGAGACUGUGGCAUGAAUUCAAAGAGCCGAGCAUGCCAGACUUUGAUGUCAGCAUCUACCUGCCUCCUCUGAAGACCAUGAAGAACGUUGUUGACAGGAUGAAGAAUCUCUCAAACUUCCUGGUAAUCGAGGCCAACCUGAAUGGAGAGAUGAAUCUGAAGAUUGAGACAGAUCUGGUUUCUGUCUCCACUCACUUCAAAGACCUGGGGAACCCUCCGUGGGGUGAUGACGCUUCCCAGCUGGGCAGGCCGUCUCAGAGCAGGGACCCAGAGGACAUGGCCGAGGCCAGGGUGGAUAUUAGGAAGCUGCAGCAGUUCCUCAUGGGGCAGCAGGUGAACCCCAGCAAGGCCAUGUGUAAUAUCAUCCAUCAGACAGUCAUCCACCUGAUUCUGCUGCAUGAAGACAUGUCACUGCAGUACUUUAUUCCAGCUGUGGCCUAGAGACUCUGCAGGUCUCUCUAGCCAGAGAGUUUGCAGUAGUGAAACACAGACUCUUUUAUAUCUUCCUCUAUGUACGAGACUAACCCACAAAUGUGUAAGUUUGUUCCAUGAGGCCAAGCUUGGUUCCAGUCUUCUGUGAAUUACUGGUAAAAGACCUCUGCAAAGAAGGAAGGUAACAAAGAAGUGAUGUCUUGAAUUGUAAAGUAUUUAUUUUGUAUUAUAGGUUUAUAAUAAAACAAUUCAAAAAAGGUUCAAAACUAAGAAAAAAACUACAGUUUUGCUGCUUUGUCUAGAAACAGCACAACUGAAUCUUCGGUUCCUUUUUUUUUUUUUUCUCCGAUCCUUCAUCCGAAUAAGGAAAAUACCUGCAACCCCUACAAAGUUUAUAUUGACCAUAACUGGAUGUUAAUUAAUUGCGAAAAAGAAAAAGUCGUGUUUAAUUAAGAACAAUGAGAGUUUGCUACUUGGGUCAAUUUUCAUCUGACGAUGAAAUGGAUUGAGUAAUCAUUUGAUGUUUUAAAUGUUGGAGUAAUUUUAUAAAGUUCAAUAUUCAAAAAUCUUUAUUAAUCCCAGAGGGAAAUUGCUUUGCACAGUUAGGAUAGUUUGCACAUUGUUUAGAAAGAUUGAAAAUAGCAAAAAGUGCAUGCGUGUGUGUGCGCGCUAGUUCUCCAACUCUGCUCAUGCACCACCUUGGUGCAGAAGUUGUUAUAAGUUGAAACAGAAGAUGUGUGUCAACAAAGUGAAAGUACAGAGCCAGUCCCUAUUUCAAACGUCAGUGGAACAAAACAGUACCUGAGCAAAGGUGAUGUUGAUGAUCAGAGAUCAGCAGCACAGCCUUCUCACGCUGCUCCAUGUUUUCCAUCCAACGCUCCAGAAGGUCCCAGCAGAGCAGCUCGCUGUCCUGAAGCUUCUUUGACGGCCUGGAUGAAAGCAGACUCUCACUGGACUUCAGCCACAGUGAGCUGGUGUCUGACGUCACACACAAGUCAUCAGUUAAUGUGCUGCUGACCAACCUCAUCCAGGGCAACCUGCUUCCCUCGGCUCUGGUCUGGAUCACUUCCCGACCCGCAGCGGCCCAUCAGAUCCCCCCUACGUGUGGACAGGGUCACAGAAGUACGAGGCUUCACCGACGCCCAGAAGGACGAGUACUUCAGGAGGAGAUCCAGCCACGAGGAUCUGUCGGCGAAUGUCGAACCCUUUACAUCUGACUGAGCUGGACCUGAGUAGAAACUACAACCUGCCAGAUUGUGGAGUGAAGCUACUUUGUGCUGGACUGUAGAAUCCACAUUGUAAACUGGAAUGUCUAAGAUCGGAGUCCUGCAGCUUGUCAGAGACCAGCUGUGGUUCUCUGGGCUCAGCACUGAGGUCCAACCCAUCCCAUCUGACAGAACUGGACCUGAGUGACAGCCAGCUGCAGGAUUCAGCAGUGGAGCAGUUGUGUGGUUUUCUGGAGAGUCCAGACUGUCGACUGGAGACUCUGAGAUUAAGUGAAUGCAGCUUGUCAGAGUCCAGCUGUGGUUCUCUGGUCUCAGCUUUGAUGUCCAACCCUACCCAUCUGACGGAACUAGACUUGAGUGACAACCUGCAGGAUUCAGGAUAACAGCAGCUGUGUGGUUUCCUGGAGAGUCCAGCCUGUCAACUGGAGGCUCUGAGUUGACGAUUCUGAGGGUUUGCACGGCGUCAGUGCAGUCAUCAGUGAAUCUCUUCCUCCCACUCAGUCCCUGCAGUGUUCAGGCUGAGCUUCAGGUGGUAGAGAGGGCAUCCGUUAACCACAGGUGCAGGUAGAAAGCAGCUGCUCAGAACAUAAAUGUUAUGUUAACCUUUUUCACAUUAAAACACUUAUACUACGGAUGUAGUGUCUGUUAAACGGUCAGAAACAGCCCCCAUGAUGCUGUGUGCACUAUUUGAGGUGUUUGAGUCUGCAUCACUGAUCUGAGAUCAGCUUAACAAGUGCUGGGCUGAAAUCCAUUUGCAGAUGUCAUCAAUAUUCAGUUUUACGCUCGGCAAACAUUUAACAUUUAUAUUUAAGGUUUAACAUUUACAUUUAGGUAUAAUAUUUAGAUUUAUAUUUAAAUUUUAGAUUUACAUUUAUUCUUGAUAUUUUGACUUUUACACAUUUAGCUAAAUAUAGGAAAACUAGUUUUGCAUGCUCCUUUUACAUUUGAUAUAGAUGUCAUGUGGCUGGAGUGUGCCAGCAGUUCCUGCAAGACAAACACAUUGAUGCUAUGGACUGGUUUACCGUUCCCCAACUGUAUCCAGUUGAGCACAUCUGGGAAAUCAUGUCUCGCUCCAUCCACCAACACCACGUUGCACCACAAACUGUCCAGGGGUUGGCAGAUGCUUUAGUCCAGGUCCGGGAGGAGAUCCGUCAGGGGACCAUCUGCCACCUCAUCAGUAGCACGCCCAGGCGUUGUAGGAAGGUCAUACAGGCAAGUGGACGCUACACGCUACUGAGCCUCAUUUGGACUUGUUUUAAGGACAGGACAUCAAAGUUGGAUCAGCCUGUAGUGUGUUUUUCCACUUCCAAUAUUGAGUGUGACUCCAAAUACAGACCUCCAAGGGUUAAUAAAUUUGAUUUCCAUUGA